rnacentral:rRNA from 1 species
UCCGUAGGUGAACCUGCGGAAGGAUCAUUACCGAGUUCAUGCCCUCACGGGUAGACCUCCCACCCUUUGUAUACCUUACCUUUUGUUGCUUUGGCGGGCCGCCUAGCUACUGGCUUCGGCUGGUAAGUGCCCGCCAGAGAACCCCAAACCCAAACCAUUUAUAGUGUCGUCUGAGAAACAAGUUUAAUAUUUAAAACUUUCAACAACGGAUCUCUUGGCUCUGGCAUCGAUGAAGAACGCAGCGAAAUGCGAUAAGUAAUGUGAAUUGCAGAAUUCAGUGAAUCAUCGAAUCUUUGAACGCACAUUGCGCCCCUUGGUAUUCCGAGGGGCAUGCCUAUUCGAGCGUCAUUAUCACCCCUCAAGCUCCGGCUUGGUGUUGAGGCCUGCCGUCAAGGCACCCUCUAAAAUCAGUGGCAGUGCCGUCAGGCUCUAAGCGUAGUAAUUUCAUCGCUAUAGACCCGGGUGGACCUCGCCAGAACCCCCAUUUUUCAAUUUUAGAUUGACCUCGGAUUAGGUAGGGAUACCCGCUGAACUUAAGCAUAUCAAUAAGCGGAGGGAAGUCGGACUGGCCAAGGGGCACACCAGGGGGGGGGAUA